rnacentral:tRNA from 1 species
GGGCCUAUAGUAUAGCUUGGAUAGAACGUGGGGCUUCGGACCCCAAGACGCCGGUUCGAAUCCGGCUAGGCUCG